AUUUUUUUUAGCUGAAAAGAUGUAAAGGAAGCAGUCAUCCCUGUGGUGUUUGUGGAGCGGUAUUCCUUCAGAAAGGGAGAAGACAGAAAGCUGCGGAGGCAGACAUUUUCAGCAGAUUGUUUGCAGAUAAUGCUGUUCUUCUUUUUCAGAAGAUUUUGGUGAGCCAACCCUCACAAACCUUCCUAAAAACUAAAAGAGCUAUUACUGAGUCUCAGCGAAUAUUGCCAUGAUCAGCUCUUCCCAGAAGAUAAGGAAGACCAAGGAAAUGAUUUGCUCAGGAUGAGGAAUGAAGACGGCCAUCUUGUGCUCAAACAAAGACAGAAGUCCUCUGAUGAUCUCAUCAGCCAAAUGAGGGGUUUUGACCAAGUGAUGCUCUUGAAAGGAGUGAAAGAAGAGGAUGUGGUAAAUUGUCUUCAGAGAAAAAGCUUCUCAAAAGGUCUUAAAACAGCUUGAAUAAUGGU